GGAAGGACACACUCGGUACUGCUGGGUUUGGAAAGAACCAGUCAAAGCAGUGUUGGCUUCCUGAAUCAAACAACACCACAGUACCUAUUUCUCCUGAGAGAGGUAGUGUUACAGCUCUUGGAUGUGACAGUGGUAUCUGAUUGUUCCCAGCUGCCGAUCCUUUGUCAGCAGAUUCCAACGCAUGGGGUCACUGAUAAAAAUGUUAAAUAAAACUGGCCCCAGUAUUGAACGCUUUGGAACACCACCAGUGACCAGCUACCAACUGGACUGAACUCUGUUCACCUUGAGAGCAGCAAUCCAGACAGUAUUUCACACAGUAAACUUCACGUCUGUCCAAGCUAUGAGCAGCCAGUUUCUCCACAAGAAUGCUGUUGGUGUUACUUUACUAAAAUCCAGCACACAGUGGAUUAUAAAUUCAUCGUUUUCAUAUGAGAAGAGGAUAUUCUGUGAUCCCUGACUAAAAAGACAAUUCAUGGGGGACUAAUGCUUGCCAAGUUAUCCAAAGAGGAGCACAAAUUGUCAUUAAUUAAAACAGGAAAUGAGUGAGGAAGACUGUUUCAUUUUCCUGUCCUUUUUUUCAAGAUUAAUUCUUAAAAUCUAAAUUUAGAAGGGUUUGGAACGAAGCCUGGC
rnacentral:lncRNA from 1 species